rnacentral:lncRNA from 1 species
AAAGCUAUUUCCAUAUGGUAAUUUCUGGGAAGCUAAAUUAGGUAGUUAUCCCUCUUAUGUCUGACGAAGUAUUAUUGAUGGGAGCGACAUUUUGAGACAUGGUGUGGGUGGACAAAUUGGGGAUGGCCAGCGUACCAAUAUUUGGUAUGAUCUGUGGCUGAAGGGUGAAAAUUUGCUGCCUUUUUGGUCUCCUAGAUUUAAUAGAGUUUCAGAGUUACUCUUGAGUUCAGGAGUAUGAAAUGUGAGCUUGCUUCAGGAACUCUUUCCUAUGUGUAUAGUGAAUAAGAUCUUGGCCUUACCACUUAGUUCUAGCUAGGGAACAUCAAGGCAGGUGGAUUUGGAAUGAAGAUAAGAAGGGCAAAUUCAUUGUCAAAUCAGCUUAUCAUUUGGCCCGAAAACAAGUAUUAGAUCAUGAGGUAAUCCCAAAUCUUAGUGUUUUUGUACAAUACCGGACGGGUUCGCAUAAGCUAAUGAAGUGCCUGGUGGAAGAACGGCUAUCCUCCCAUUGACCUGCAAUAACAAGGGUGACCGGGAACUUCCGGUCUUUCCUUCUCCGAUGGUUAAGUCAGUCUCAGUUGGUUGAAUGUAAUUAUUAGGGGUAGUUAUUGUUACCUGACAGAUUGGUGGCUGGGCCAUAUUUAUGGCUCAGAGUACGUUUUCCUCUACUUGGAAACCGAUGUGGGACAAUUCCCCUUUGCUGUUACUUCAAACACCCAGUUUCCUUACACUUUCCAAGAAUGUUCCCGGCCCAAGACUGCCAUUGAGGUCGGGCCUGGGCCACCCUAUUUAUUGGUGGGUACUUCGGGGCGGCCUUGGUAAUGGUGGGAUGUCUGCUGGUUUACGGGUUUGGGAGGCUGUUUUAUGCACAACCGACUACAAGUCCCCCCAAGUUCCCGUUCAAGACACAUCUUGAGUGGGGGCUUGCUAAAAUAAGCCCGUAGACCAGUAUGUUUCAAGUGGAUCCCGCCUAUAGUCCCCCUAAGUCAGAACUCAAGACAUGGAUUGAACGGGUGUUACAUGUUUAUAGGCGAGGGUAGCGAGCCCUUUCCUCAUCCAGUGAUACUACUCGAGUGACGGGGUGUUAACGCCGUCCGUGGUUUAUCAAGCCACUUGUUCCGUUUUUUAAGGGAUGAUAUAAAUGGCAAUACCCCGGCAUCCCGGGAACAUUUAUCCGGGACUUACAAUUUCGAGAGGCAAUUCUCACAUGCUUCCUCCCGGUGACUCUCACCUGCGAUAGGUCUUAUGCUGGGUCUUACGAUCUCGGUGACUCUCACCUGAGAUUGGUCUUACGCUGGGUCUUAUGAUCUCGGUGAUUCUCACCCGAGAUAGGUCUUAGGUUGGGUCUUACUGACACGACCCACCCCGUAUUUCACUCUGAAACCCGGAGUAAGUCGUGCGGGGACCACCUCCAAGGAAAAUUUACUGAAAAGAUUGAGAAAAUCUCCCUUGAAAAUGGACAACCCUACCUCGAAAAUUCCAAAUUACACUCUUAAUACAUCACGUCCAAACAUCACAUAAUUAUCCUUCAAAAAUUCUAAACAUAAUAUACAAUAAUUCCAAAGUAUUCAGAGCUACUAGACACUAGCGGAAGCAAGAAAACACUAGUAGGUUAAACAGGUAACCUACUGAUGAAAACUGGCGGAAAUGCGGGUGACUAUGCCUCGCCUCCUACUAGAUCCAACCCGAACUCUGCAGAUUGGGCAUUUUAAAAAGAAGGGCCCAGAGGAAAACAUUUGAAACCGUAGUGAGUGGACAAAAAUAACUUUUUAAAAGAAAAUUAAUCUUUAUGCUUUCCCGAUUUAUCUUCAGUGGAAAAACAAUUAAUGGCAUGCAACCAGCUCAAAAGCCUUUAAAAAAUUUACCGAAUUAUCAAAACGUGACUAGCCGCGCUAGUCACCAACACUUCAAAAAUAAGAGCCUCUCAGGCUAAAAUAAAAUAUGUAUGUAUUACGCUCGUCAUAUCCCUUGUAUGAAUUUUCUUGAAACAAUAAAGACAAAUAGAAAAUUCACACAAGGCUACGACGUUUGCGUCUAACGCUCACGUCGCACCAUAAUGGCAUUUUACCUCAUUAUGGUGGAAAAGACGGUGUAUAAAUAUAUAUACGCGCAUAUCCCCUAUAUAAAUUAUUAUAUUUAUAUAGGGCUACGACGAUUGCGUCUAACGCUCACGUCGUACCAUAAUGGAAUUUUACCUCAGUAUGGUGGAAAAGCACGUAUAGCUAGCUAGCAUUUCUCCAUAUACAUAUUAUUCUCAUAAACAUCCAAAUAUGGAUAUAUAUACAUACUCACCGAAAUUCUCAAUUUCGGUUAAUCUCUAACAACUUAAAUUAUUUUGCAUGCACAUUGUUUAAAAUAAAAGUCCACUCACUAAUUAGGCCUAAGCCUGAUGACGCUCCGAGGCUUCCUCUGCUCGGGCCUUCUCUUGUCCUGUUCCAAAAAUAUAAUUAAUUCCCCACUAAAAAUCCAAUAUUUAAUCAAAAUAGGCAAAAUUACCCGAGAGCCAUAAAUACGCUCAUCAUUGCCUAACUUCGAUAUUCUUAAAUCGAAACGAUCCGAACUUAAAUAUCAUACUCGACAGUCAUAAAUACAACCUCCCCAAAAUACGACUUAAAUCCUAUGGCCGGAUUCUACAUUAAUUAACCGCCAAAAAUACCAAACUUCGGAAAUUCACAAACCUAUCCAAAUCUCAUCCAAAAAUUCCAUAAUCACAUCAAUAUAAUCCCUUUAAUAUUCCACAUUUAAAACCCUAAAAAUCUCCCAAACCGGCGGCGGCUCCGCCGGCAGCGACGGCCGGAGGCCAAUUCCGGCGACCUCCAAAACCUAUGAAAUUUUGACAGAAUAAUCCUCUCAUCAUGCUCUACAACUUUCCUGACUAGCACAAAUACCAAUUCCAAGCCUAACUAGGGUAAUCGACUAAAAACAUCAAAAACGCCAUAAAACUUCCACCUCAAAUUUCUCCUUACCUAGCUCAAGAGGGAGUGAGUCCUUUUAGGGCAAGGCUGCUGGGUUGGAGGGCUACAAAACCGUACCAAGCUUGCCCGGAUUGGUGGCCGGAGGAGGGAGUUCCGGCGAAAUGCUUCCCGGCGUCUCCGGCGGGAUUUCUCCUCUUCCGGCAGGUUAGAGGCUCGGGGGCUAGGCCAGGGAGGGAGAGGAGGAGAUGGGGGUCCGAACUGAGGUGGAGAGGCGGCAGAUGGUGGCCGGACGGCGGCAGGAGGACGGCUGGAAAACCGGGCAGCGGGAGGGGCUCGGGAGAGAGAGGGAACCGGGAGGAGAAAAGAGAAGAAAAGAGAAAAUGGGUUUGGGCCUCACACCCCAAACCGGUCUAAGCUUAUAACAACCCAGUUCCAAAAAAUAAAACACCCCGAAAAAUAAUAUCCGAAUAAAAAUUACCUUUUACUAGCUAAAAUUUACCAUUUUUACCGUCGUCAUAUUUUCUCCCACGAAUAAUUCCCCGAAAUUAAUCGUCUUUUAAAAUACCUCUAGGGACCAAUUAAACUAUUACCUCAAUGACGGGGACGGUAAAAUUUUUAUUAUAAUCAAGCUAGUAAAUAAGGUAAAAAUAUAAGGGUCGGGAUGUGACAAUUCUCCCCUCCUUAUAAAAAUUUUGUCCUCGAAAUUUACAUACCUGUCAUCCAAAGAGAUAGGGAAACUGCUGCAUCAUUUCCUCCUCUGAUUCCCAAGUAGCUUCUUCUACUUGAUGACUUCUCCAAAGCACCUUGACAAACGGAAUUGUCUUGUUCCUAAGCACUUGCUCCUUUCGAUCGAAAAUCUGAACCGGUUCCUCUUCAUAGGUCAGAUCUCUCGUCAAACUGAUCGGCUGCUCUUGCAGCACAUGAGAAGGAUCGGCAAUAUACUUGCGAAGCAUGGAUACAUGAAACACAUUAUGUAUCCUAGCUAACUCUGGAGGCAAAAGUAGCCGAUAAGCAAGUGAGCCAACUCGCUGUAUAAUCUCAUAAGGGCCAAUAUACCUCGGACUAAGCUUCCCACGCUUACCGAAACGCACAACCCCUUUCCAAGGAGAUAAUUUCAGGAACACCCAAUCACCCACUUGAAAUUCAAGGUCUCUCCUACGGACAUCUGCAUAACUCUUCUGCCUACUUUGAGCAGUCUUGAGUCUAUCUCUAACCACUUUAAUCUUCUCAUUCGUAACAUGGAUUAACUCUAGGCCACAAAGCUCUUUUUCCCCCACUUCAUUCCAACACAAAGGCGUACGACACUGCCUCCCAUAAAGAGCCUCAAAGGGAGCCAUACCAAUGCUAGAAUGAUAGCUAUUAUUAUAGGCAAAUUCCAUCAAAGAUAGGUUUUUAUCCCAACUCCCUCUGAACUGCAUGGCACAAGCCCUCAACAUAUCCUCCAAAGUCUGAAUAGUCCUCUCGGACUGCCCAUCAGUCUGAGGAUGAAAAGCAGUGCUGAAGAGUAAUUGGGUACCUAAAGCUGCCUGAAGAGCUCCCCAGAAUUUAGAAGCAAAUCGAGGAUCCCGAUCUGACACUAUUGAUUCAGGAACACCAUGAAGCCUCACAAUUUCAUUCACAUAAAGCUCUGCCAAUUUAUCCAAUUUAUAUUUCUUUCCCACUGGCAAGAAAUGUGCAGACUUGGUGAGUCUAUCCACAAUCACCCAAAUACCGUCAUGCCCUUCACGGGUACGAGGUAAACUGAAAACGAAAUCCAUGGUGAUGUGGUCCCACUUCCAACUGGAAUAGGCAACGGCUCAAGCAAUCCAGAAGGCUUCUGCCUUUCAGCUUUUACUUGCUGACAAACUAGUCAUCUACUCACAUAAGCUGCAAUUUCCCUCUUCAUGUUUGGCCACCAAUAAUAAUCCUUCAAAAUCCGAUACAUUUUUGUGCUACCCGGAUGAGCAGCAUAUGCAGAGCUAUGAGCUUCCUCCAUAAUCUCAAUCUUCAACUCUUCAUUUCUUCUUGGAACACAUAGCCGAUUCUUAAACAAUAGAGUCCCAUCUCUUCUAACUGAAAAAUGAUCGGCUGCGGCUCCAUUCGAAGCUCUUUCCAUCAAUCGAACUAUGGAAGGAUCAUUAUACUGUGCUUCCCGCACUCUAUCAACCAAAACUGGCCUCACAUGAAAACUGGCUAUCAAAGCACCCACCUCAUCUACUGAUAAAUCCACUCCUGUAGCUCGCAACUCACAAAGAAAGCAGAACACGAACCAUCUUUAUAUGAGAUAAAGAUAUAGAGGGAUUUCGACUAAGAGCAUCUGCUACCACAUUAGCUUUUCCAGGGUGAUACUCAAUUAUGCAAUCAUAAUCAUUGAUUAACUCCAUCCAUCUUCUCUGUCUCAUAUUAAGCUCUCUUUGAGUGAACACAUACCGAAGACUCUUGUGAUCGGUAAAUAUCUGACACUUGGCUCCAUAAAGAUAGUGUCUCCACAACUUGAGAGCGAAAACUACCGCUGCAAGCUCCAGAUCAUGAGUAGGAUAAUUCCCCUCAUGUGGCUUCAAUUGCCUAGAAGCGUAGGCAAUAACUCGAUCAUGCUGCAUCAAAACUCCACCUAGACCACGUCUAGAAGCAUCACAAUAGACCACAUACUCUCCACUCUCAUCCGGAAGUGCCAAAACAGGAGCACUUGUUAAGCAAUUCUUCAAUUCUUGGAAACUUUGCUCACAUUGAUCUGACCAUUCAAACUUAACCCCCUUCCUGGUCAAUCUUGUAAGAGGAGCAGCAAUCUUUGAAAAAUCUUUCACAAAGCGCCGAUAAUAACCUGCUAAUCCUAAGAAACUACGAAUCUCCGUCACAGUGGUGGGUCUUCUCCAAUUCGACACUGCUUCCACCUUUUGGGGAUCCACACUAACUUCUUCUGCCGAAAUCACAUGACCCAAAAACCCCACUUUAUCUAGCCAGAACUCACACUUGCUAAACUUAGCAAAUAACUGCGACUUUUCCAAAGUCCACAAUAUUAUUCUUAGAUGCUUGGCAUGCUCCUUCUCACUUCUUGAGUAAACCAAUAUGUCAUCUAUGAAUACGAUCACGAAACGAUCAAGGUAUGGACUAAACACCCUAUUCAUGAGAUCCAUGAAUGCCGCGGGUGCAUUAGUAAGUCCAAAAGGCAUCACCACAAAUUCAUAAUGACCAUAACGUGAUCGGAAAGCAGUCUUGGUUAUGUCCCCCUCUCGGAUCCACAACUGAUGAUAACCCGAUCUCAAAUCAAUCUUAGAGAAAAUAGAGGCACCCCUCAACUGAUCAAAUAAAUCAUCGAUCCGAGGCAACGAAUAUUUAUUCUUCACUGUGACCUGAUUCAACUUUCUAUAAUCAAUGCAUAGUCUCAUGGUGCCAUCUUUCUUCUUAACAAACAACACUGGAGCACCCCAUGGAGACAUGCUAGGCCGAAUAAAACCCUUAUCUACCAACUCCUGCAAUUGAGUCUUCAACUCUUUCAAUUCCACUGGAGCCAUUCUGUAAGGUGCCUGAGAGAUAGGCAUGGUUCCAGGAAGUAAUUCUAUAGAGAAGUCUAUCUCCCUUGCAGGAGGCAAACCAGGCAACUCUUCAGGAAAAACAUCCGGAAACUCCCUUACUACUGGAAUAUCUUCUAAUCCCACAACUCCCAUACUUGUAUCCACCACAUGAGCUAAAUAUGUCUGACAGCCUUUACUCAACAAUUUCCUUGCAGCAACAACGAAAAAUAUGCAACUAGAAAUAACAUCUCUUUCCCCUUGGAAAGCAACCUCAAAACCAUCUGGACUUCGAAGCACCACUACUUUCUGAAAACAAUCUACCAUAGCUCUAUAUGCUUCCAAAAAGUCCAUUCCUAAGAUCACAUCAAACUCCACUAUAUCUAAAGGAAUUAAAUCAGCCUCGAAAUUAACUCUUUCCACUAAAACUUCACCACCACUAAAUACCCAAUUUAUUCUCAUCACCUCACCGGAGGGUAGAGACACAUGCCACUCGCCUGGAAGAGACGAUGAUGGCACAUUGGCAUGGAGGGCAAAUCUACUAGACAUGAAUGAAUGCGUGGCUCCGGGAUCAAUUAAAGUAAAAGCAGGCUGACCGAAAAUUAAUAACGUACCAAUGAUGACAUCUGGAGAAGUACGACCCUCCUGCUGGGUCAUAGCAUGUAGUCAUGGGACGUCCACGCUGACUACCGCCCCGCUGAGAGCCACCUCUGACAGAUGCACUGCCCUGGGCACCACUACUGGAGCCUCUAGCUGAAGACUGACCAACUGGCUGAGUAGGGGUGGGAGUCGUCCUCUGAGCCAAUAAUGGACAAUCUCUCCUGAAGUGGUCUUGACUACCACACUCAAAGCACCCAGAAAACUGCUGCUGCCCAUAAGAAAAAGUCUGGCUACCGGACGACCCACCAUGGAAGCUACCACCAGAAUCAUACUGUCUAGUCUGCUGCCUACCCAACUGGCUCCGAGAAGAACUUCUGAAACGUCCCUUAGACCUGGUUCGAACACCAGAGCUAGAUUUACCACUACUUCCACUACCAGCUGAAGAUCCAGAAGCGGAUGAUGAAGCAGCCUUCUUGGAUGGACCCUGACUGGGGCCACUGAAAUCUCGUGGCCGAGCACUAUAAAUCCCCAUAGACUCAAUGGCCAUGGCUGCAUGAACAACAUCAGAAAAAGUCGGGUAAUAAACACCCGUCAUCUUAUCUGCAAACACUCCACCAAGUGCCCCAAUGAACAUCUCCAUCCUGGUCCUCUCAUCAGGAACCAGAUAUGACACAUGGUAGCUCAGGGAAGUGAAUCUCUCUUGUAACUCUAUAACACCCUCAUCAUCCCUCUUCUUCAUAUUCAGGAAAUCCGACUGAAUUCUGUUGCGGUGGGCAGGACUGGAAUACUGCCCCAAGAAGAGAGUCUUAAACUGCUCCCACGACAUAUUCAGCGCAUCCUCAACAUUCCUGUUGGCAAGCGACCACCAGUGAUGUGCUGAAUCAUCCAGAAAAGUCACUGCUAUCUUCACCUUUCUUUCUUCUGGCAGCUCAGUACUCGCAAAAGCCUUUUCCAUCUUAUCCACCCAAUUGUGAGCAACAAGAGGUCCCUUGGCACCCUUGAACUCUCUAGCUCCAGCAUCAAAAACUUCUCUCCUUUUCACAACAGGAGGGCGUGGAGCACGAUCCAUGACAUCCCUCAGCAUAUUUCCAAUAUCAUCAACCAGUCCCCUGACCUCAUUGCCCUCAUCGGCAUUGGUCGAAGUGGCCACACGGGGUUGCCGUGGGCGCCUAUAAGGCAUAGUACUUGAGGAAGAAGAAAUUUAGUAGUCCAUAAACAAGACUAACACAACAAUCACACAUACCCAAUAACACAUAGCAUCAAAAGCAUAAAAUGCCAAUGAAUCUGCCGCGGUCGGAUCAUCACUCUAUAGACACUACGUGCUACUAGGGGUGGACUUUUAGGCACCGAAAAAACCGAAACCGGUUAAAACCGCACCGAACCAACACCGAGUAACCAAAACCGAAUAGAACCGAGACAAUCGGUUCCGGAAACCACACAAACCAAGUAGUGCGGUGUCGGUUUGCGGUUCCGUGCAUCCUAAAAACCGAUUAAACCGAACCGAACCGACAUAUAUUCAUUCUCCAUAUAUUAAUUAUUAAUACUUAAUUCUACAUUACAUGUCAUAUUCUUAUCGGUUAUGGGUUGUAAAUAGUAGGCUUUCACACACAUGAUUAUGUCUUUAAGUGUUUAAGUCUAACCGAAAUCCUUCCCAUGUAAUUUUAUCUUUUGUUAUAUAUGAAUGUUGGAGGCUUCAAAUAAAUUAUGUAUAAAUUUUAGCUUCCCUUUUCAUUUGGAUUAGUUAUUUGAACCCAUUAGAUUAACUUAUUUGAAGUGUUGAUAGUUUACAACUUUGAUAUGUUUAUUUUUUAUGUUAUUUGGUUAAGUGUAAAAAAUAUUAUGGAUAAUAGGUUUUGUAACCGAAACCGCACCGAAACCGAACCGAUGUUAGGUUAACCGACAAGUGCGGUCUUUUAUAUAUUUUCAUCGGUUUCGGUUCUAGAAAAUAGAAAACCGAAGCUUCGGUUUCGGUUUUCGGUUAGUGCCUAAAAACCGAACCAUUGGGACCGAGUCCACCCCUACGUGCUACUUAGGCAAAUAUGAUAGUGACAAGGAAGCAGGAAAAGGAAACCUAUAGCUCUGAUACCAACUGACACGACCCACCCCGAAUUUCACCCUGAAACCCGGAGUAAGUCGUGCGGGGACCACCUCCAAGGAAAAUUUACUGAAAAGAUUAAGAAAAUCUCCCUUGAAAAUGGACAACCCUAACUCGAAAAUUCCAAAUUACACUCUUAAUACAACACGUCCAAAUAUCACAUAAUUAUCCUUCAGAAAUUCUAAACAUAAUAUACAAUAAUCCCAAAGUAUUCAGAGCUACUAGACACUAGCGGAAGCAAGAAAAUACUAGUAGGUUAAACAGGUAACCUACUGAUGAAAACUGGCGGAAAUGCGGGUGACUAUGCCUCGCCUCCUACUAGAUCCAACCCGAACUCUGCAGACUGGGCAUUUUAAAAAGAAGGGCCCAGGGGAAAACAUUUGAAACCGUUAGAGUGAGUGGACAAAAAUAACUUUUUAAAAGAAAAUUAAUCUUUAUGCUUUCCCGAUUUAUCUUCAGUGGAAAAACAAUUAAUGGCAUGCAACCAGCUCAAAAGCCUUUAAAAAAUUUACCGAAUUAUCAAAACGUGACUAGCCGCGCUAGUCACCAACACUUCAAAAAUAAGAGCAUCUCAGGCUAAAAUAAAAUAUGUAUGUAUUACACUCGUCAUAUCCCUUGUAUGAAUUUUCUUGAAACAAUAAAGACAAAUAGAAAAUUCACACAAGGCUACGACGCUUACGUCUAACUCUCACGUCGCACCAUAAUGGCAUUUUACCUCAUUAUGGUGGAAAAGACGGUGUAUAAAUAUAUAUACGCGCAUAUCCCCUAUAUAAAUUAUUAUAUUUAUAUAGGGCUACGACGAUUGCGUUUAACGCUCACGUCGCACCAUAAUGGAAUUUUACCUCAGUAUGGUGGAAAAGCACGUAUAGCUAGCUAGCAUUUCUCCAUAUACAUAUUAUUCUCAUAAACAUCCAAAUAUGGAUAUAUAUACAUACUCACCGAAAUUCUCAAUUUCGGUUAAUCUCUAACAACUUAAAUUAUUUUGCAUGCACAUUGUUUAAAAUAAAAGUCCACUCACUAAUUAGGCCUAAGCCUGAUGACGCUCCGAGGCUUCCUCUGCUCGGGCAUUCUCUUGUCCUGUUCCAAAAAUAUAAUUAAUUCCCCACUAAAAAUUCAAUAUUUAAUCAAAAUAGGCAAAAUUACCCGAGAGCCAUAAAUACGCUCAUCAUUGCCUAACUUCGAUAUUCUUAAAUCGAAACGAUCCGAACUUAAAUAUCAUACUCGACAGUCGUAAAUACAACCUCCCCAAAAUACGACUUAAAUUCUACGGCCGGAUUCUACAUUAAUUAACCGCCAAAAAUACCAAACUUCGGAAAUUCACAAACCUAUCCAAAUCUCAUCCAAAAAUUCCAUAAUCACAUCAAUAUAAUCCCCUUAAUAUUCCACAUUUAAAACCCUAAAAAUCUCCCAAACCGCCGGCGGCUCCGCCGGCAGCGGCGGCCGAAGGCCAAUUCCGGCGACCUCCAAAACCUAUGAAAUUUUGACAGAAUAAUCCUCUCAUCAUGCUAUACAACUUUCCUGACUAGCACAAACACCAAUUCCAAGCCUAACUAGGGUAAUCGACUAAAAACAUCAAAAACGCCAUAAAACUUCCACCUCAAAUAUCUCCUUACCUAGCUCAAGAGGGAGUGAGUCCUUUUAGGGCAAGGCUGCUGGGUUGGAGGGCUACAAAACCGUACCAAGCUUGCCCGGAUUGGUGACCAGAGGAGGGAGUUCCGGCGAAAUGCUUCCCGGCGUCUCCGGCGGGAUUUCUCCUCUUCCGGCGGGUUAGAGGCUCGGGGGCUAGGCCGGGGAGGGAGAGGAGGAGAUGGGGGUCCGAACUGAGGUGGAGAGGCGGCAGAUGGUGGCCGGACGACGGCAGGAGGACGGCUGGAAAACCGGGCAGCGGGAGGGGCUCGGGAGAGAGAGGGAACCGGGAGGAGAAAAGAGAAGAAAAGAGAAAAUGGGUUUGGGCCUCACACCCCAAACCGGUCUAAGCUUAUAACAACCCACUUCCAAAAAAUAAAACACCCCGAAAAAUAAUACCUGAAUAAAAAUUACCUUUAACUAGCUAAAAUUUACCAUUUUUACCGUCGUCAUAUUUUCUCCCACGAAUAAUUCCCUGAAAUUAAUCGUCCCUUAAAAUACCUCUAGAGACCAAUUAAACUAUUACCUCAAUGACGGGGACGGUAAAAUUCUUAUUAUAAUCAAGCUAGUAAAUAAGGUAAAAAUAUAAGGGUCGGGAUGUGACACUGGGUCUUAUGAUCUCGGUGACUCGCACCCGAGAUAGGUCUUAUGCUCGGUCUUACGAUCUCGGUGACUCUCACCAGAGGUUGGUCUUACGCUGGGGGUUUACGCAUAGUUGUGGCAGAGACAUUAAAUGCAUGCUUGCCAGAUGUCACCAUAUUCCUGGAUAACUGCUAAGUAAUUAAUGUACGUCGCUUCGCUCUUUCCUUCUUCAAGACGCUACGGCAGUUAAUCUACGUGACGCCAUCCUGCGGUUUGAUCAGAUGGCCAGGGGUGCCUCGUUUUUGGGUAUUGGGUUUUUAAAUGCGUCGGUUCGUGGAUCGAAGCGACUGCUCGCCAGACCCCGUAUAAACGUUUCCCCCUCCUUUCGUUUUUGUCUUCACUCUUUCACUCCACUCUUCUCUGCUUUCUCUAUGUUUCUGUUUUCUCUGUUGUCGUCGGUGUUUCUCUGCUGUCGUCUUUUUCAGUUUUUCUGCUUUCUGUCUUCCAACGCUGCGCCACCGCCGAAUCCUACGAUUGCGAGGUGUUUCCGGACCGCUGAAUUUCCGGUGUUGCUACUGCGUUGAAAAUCUGGGAAGGUUUUCUUCAUUCUGUUCUGUUGCACUGAUGCUUGUAUCUGUUGGUUCUGCUCUGGCGUUCUUUGCGUUUGUGUUGCUUCUAUAUGCUUUGUUGGGUGAAAGUGGGAGUUUUAGGAUUCUAGGGCUUUCUGAGUUUAGGCUGUGUUACUCUGUUUUCUUUGCGCUUGCUCCCAGUGGCGCGUACUAAUAGAUCUUAGGGUGUGUUACAUUAGGGUAGAUGGAUUCUCGAAGUACGACCGACUUAAGUGGGGCUAGCACAUCCUCUCGGCCGAUAAUGGAUGACAUUGAGAGGAUGGAUGAGUACAUUAGUCGACCAUCCCGCCCGAGCUGUCCGCCUACAUCGAGGCCUGAGGAGGUAACUUACGCCGUACCCGCCCGGGAUGUUGACUGGUCUGUCGGGGUUUUUCAUGGCGUCCCGAUGACCAGUGUAAUCGGCACUUCUUCGUCCAGGAGGUACAUACUAGAGGACGGCACAGUGAGCGACGAACCAGACUGUAACAUGACCCCGGCUGAAAUAGAACAAUUUCUAGAAGACUGGGGGAUCCCGUCGUCUGUUACCCUUCGCGCGCUAUAUGAGGAUGAAUUGGCAUGCUGUCCGAGAGAUGGCUUCGUCGCUGUGCAUGAGCAUAUGUUUAGGAACGGCUUCUCUCUCCCGCUUCCUCAAUGCUUGCAGUAUCUGCUGAGCAUGCUUCAGCUAGCUCCCGGGCAGAUUCCCCCAAACCAAUGGCGCCAACUGCUGUCUCUUUGCUGCCUGUACUACCUGUCCGAGAUGGGCUGGCCAACUAUCAACGAGUUUCGCACCCUGUACCGCCUUUUGUACUCGAAGAAACAGAACUACCGAGAGUGCGUUUCAUUUGCUGCCCUGGAAUACUUGCCUCCUGUUACUGACCUC